rnacentral:miRNA from 1 species
CUCUCUUCUCUUCUCCGGCAC